GUGUGUGGACUCUGUAUCAUUACAACUAAGCCAGAAACCUCUCCUGAGGGAUGAGAUGGUGUUUGAGAAGCAUGGGCACAAUGUCUGAGAUAAAUAAAGCUCCCAGUGAAUAGUGAUGCUAUUGUUAGCAAUAACGUGACCGACAUGCAGAAACACAGAAGUUCCUAAUGCCUUCAUUGUCCAUGAACUGCUGUCUGCUGCUGUGGAGAUGCCUCCACAGUGCUCCAAAACUCCCCUCAGCACCCCACAGCUGCUCUCCAAGCCAGGCAGCAGGUACACGUCAAGAAUCGGACUCCUCGCUGCUUGUCAGCCAGGGAUCCCAGGAUGGGACAGGCUAGACUACACCAAGAGUGACAAGAACCUGUUGCCAGUGCCGAUCCUUCAUCCCAGGAUUGCAGGCAAUGGUGAGGACGGGUAUGUGCUGCCUGAACUUCUCGAUCUUCAACUUGACGUUCUCUGCUAAGCGCCUGGGUGCAGGCACAUCAAUCAAGGUCUUGGUCAACUUGUAGGUUGUUCUCCACAUAUUCCCUAUGUCCUCUGCAAUUUCCUCAGCAUUCAAUAAAAAGAGGGGGCCUGGAACAAAGAGAAGUUCAGACUAUAA